AAAAGAGCCAUUUAGUCCUGAUGUUUAUUGUUAUGUUCAACACAGUGUGUAAAUAUCAACAAAGCUGACUACAGUCGGAACAUCGAUGGAUGCUGGGAGAAAAAUCAUCCUUAAAGGUCAUCGCCUUCCAGGAAAUGGGGACGAUGGCGACGAGACGAGAGACAUUCUACACGCUACGCUCUUUUCCACGGUCACCAUAAUAUCACGGUGGCACCCGAAACCAACAACACCGUACUGCUACCGCACGUACGGCGAUGAUGAUUAUGAUAGGGGGAGAUGAAAAUGAGAAUCCAUUUCGCCACAAGGCCGACGGUUCGGGAGAGAAAGAUGUGGCACCACACAGCAGGGCAGCGGAGCGGAUGCUGUGCGCUUCUUCCUGGCGACGAGUGGCGGGCGAGGUUCCACUGCCUCUAGUAGCAAUUUUGCCAACACACAUGCGUAUUAAUACGCAAUUGUUGGAUAGAAUUAGGUUAGGGAAAUUUGAUUUGAGUUGACAUUUAUUGUUUGGUCGGCAUUUGGAUCAAGCGUAUUAAGAAAUUAUUCUAAGUAGAUUACUGUAUCGGCAGUUACCACAGCUUAACAGAUUAGCGGUUCAUCUAAUCAGCUAAUAACAACUCUCCUUACAUGCAGUACAGGUUGUUAUCCGACGGUUUUAAAACAAGAAACAAGAUAGUAGCAGGGAUUACACGGAGUGCGGAAGAAAGUGGCAUUUAAAAAAAAAAACUAAAAACCAUACGGCACUUCAAUGA